UACGUAGGGACCAAGCGUUGUUCGGAUUUACUGGGCGUAAAGGGCGCGUAGGCGGCAAUUCAAGUCAUCUGUGAAAUCUCUGGGCUUAACCCAGAACGGCCAGAUGAUACUGCUGUGCUAGAGUGCAGAAGGGGCAAUCGGAAUUCUUGGUGUAGCGGUGAAAUGCGUAGAUAUCAAGAGGAACACCUGAGGUGAAGACGGGUUGCUGGGCUGACACUGACGCUGAGGCGCGAAAGCCAGGGGAGCAAACGGG
rnacentral:rRNA from 1 species